AGCGUACACGGUGGAUGCCCUGGCAGUCAGAGGCGAUGAAGGACGUGCUAAUCUGCGAUAAGCGUCGGUAAGGUGAUAUGAACCGUUAUAACCGGCGAUUUCCGAAUGGGGAAACCCAGUGUGUUUCGACACACUAUCAUUAACUGAAUCCAUAGGUUAAUGAGGCGAACCGGGGGAACUGAAACAUCUAAGUACCCCGAGGAAAAGAAAUCAACCGAGAUUCCCCCAGUAGCGGCGAGCGAACGGGGAGCAGCCCAGAGCCUGAAUCAGUGUGUGUGUUAGUGGAAGCGUCUGGAAAGGCGCGCGAUACAGGGUGACAGCCCCGUACACAAAAAUGCACAUGCUGUGAGCUCGAUGAGUAGGGCGGGACACGUGGUAUCCUGUCUGAAUAUGGGGGGACCAUCCUCCAAGGCUAAAUACUCCUGACUGACCGAUAGUGAACCAGUACCGUGAGGGAAAGGCGAAAAGAACCCCGGCGAGGGGAGUGAAAAAGAACCUGAAACCGUGUACGUACAAGCAGUGGGAGCACGCUUAGGCGUGUGACUGCGUACCUUUUGUAUAAUGGGUCAGCGACUUAUAUUCUGUAGCAAGGUUAACCGAAUAGGGGAGCCGAAGGGAAACCGAGUCUUAACUGGGCGUUAAGUUGCAGGGUAUAGACCCGAAACCCGGUGAUCUAGCCAUGGGCAGGUUGAAGGUUGGGUAACACUAACUGGAGGACCGAACCGACUAAUGUUGAAAAAUUAGCGGAUGACUUGUGGCUGGGGGUGAAAGGCCAAUCAAACCGGGAGAUAGCUGGUUCUCCCCGAAAGCUAUUUAGGUAGCGCCUCGUGAAUUCAUCUCCGGGGGUAGAGCACUGUUUCGGCAAGGGGGUCAUCCCGACUUACCAACCCGAUGCAAACUGCGAAUACCGGAGAAUGUUAUCACGGGAGACACACGGCGGGUGCUAACGUCCGUCGUGAAGAGGGAAACAACCCAGACCGCCAGCUAAGGUCCCAAAGUCAUGGUUAAGUGGGAAACGAUGUGGGAAGGCCCAGACAGCCAGGAUGUUGGCUUAGAAGCAGCCAUCAUUUAAAGAAAGCGUAAUAGCUCACUGGUCGAGUCGGCCUGCGCGGAAGAUGUAACGGGGCUAAACCAUGCACCGAAGCUGCGGCAGCGACGCUUAUGCGUUGUUGGGUAGGGGAGCGUUCUGUAAGCCUGCGAAGGUGUGCUGUGAGGCAUGCUGGAGGUAUCAGAAGUGCGAAUGCUGACAUAAGUAACGAUAAAGCGGGUGAAAAGCCCGCUCGCCGGAAGACCAAGGGUUCCUGUCCAACGUUAAUCGGGGCAGGGUGAGUCGACCCCUAAGGCGAGGCCGAAAGGCGUAGUCGAUGGGAAACAGGUUAAUAUUCCUGUACUUGGUGUUACUGCGAAGGGGGGACGGAGAAGGCUAUGUUGGCCGGGCGACGGUUGUCCCGGUUUAAGCGUGUAGGCUGGUUUUCCAGGCAAAUCCGGAAAAUCAAGGCUGAGGCGUGAUGACGAGGCACUACGGUGCUGAAGCAACAAAUGCCCUGCUUCCAGGAAAAGCCUCUAAGCAUCAGGUAACAUCAAAUCGUACCCCAAACCGACACAGGUGGUCAGGUAGAGAAUACCAAGGCGCUUGAGAGAACUCGGGUGAAGGAACUAGGCAAAAUGGUGCCGUAACUUCGGGAGAAGGCACGCUGAUAUGUAGGUGAAGUCCCUCGCGGAUGGAGCUGAAAUCAGUCGAAGAUACCAGCUGGCUGCAACUGUUUAUUAAAAACACAGCACUGUGCAAACACGAAAGUGGACGUAUACGGUGUGACGCCUGCCCGGUGCCGGAAGGUUAAUUGAUGGGGUUAGCGCAAGCGAAGCUCUUGAUCGAAGCCCCGGUAAACGGCGGCCGUAACUAUAACGGUCCUAAGGUAGCGAAAUUCCUUGUCGGGUAAGUUCCGACCUGCACGAAUGGCGUAAUGAUGGCCAGGCUGUCUCCACCCGAGACUCAGUGAAAUUGAACUCGCUGUGAAGAUGCAGUGUACCCGCGGCAAGACGGAAAGACCCCGUGAACCUUUACUAUAGCUUGACACUGAACAUUGAGCCUUGAUGUGUAGGAUAGGUGGGAGGCUUUGAAGUGUGGACGCCAGUCUGCAUGGAGCCGACCUUGAAAUACCACCCUUUAAUGUUUGAUGUUCUAACGUGGACCCGUAAUCCGGGUUGCGGACAGUGUCUGGUGGGUAGUUUGACUGGGGCGGUCUCCUCCUAAAGAGUAACGGAGGAGCACGAAGGUUGGCUAAUCCUGGUCGGACAUCAGGAGGUUAGUGCAAUGGCAUAAGCCAGCUUGACUGCGAGCGUGACGGCGCGAGCAGGUGCGAAAGCAGGUCAUAGUGAUCCGGUGGUUCUGAAUGGAAGGGCCAUCGCUCAACGGAUAAAAGGUACUCCGGGGAUAACAGGCUGAUACCGCCCAAGAGUUCAUAUCGACGGCGGUGUUUGGCACCUCGAUGUCGGCUCAUCACAUCCUGGGGCUGAAGUAGGUCCCAAGGGUAUGGCUGUUCGCCAUUUAAAGUGGUACGCGAGCUGGGUUUAGAACGUCGUGAGACAGUUCGGUCCCUAUCUGCCGUGGGCGCUGGAGAAUUGAGGGGGGCUGCUCCUAGUACGAGAGGACCGGAGUGGACGCAUCACUGGUGUUCGGGUUGUCAUGCCAAUGGCACUGCCCGGUAGCUAAAUGCGGAAGAGAUAAGUGCUGAAAGCAUCUAAGCACGAAACUUGCCCCGAGAUGAGUUCUCCCUGACUCCUUGA
rnacentral:rRNA from 1 species